ensembl:ncRNA C47G2.12 ncRNA
GUUCAUCCGAUUUGUGUCUCAGAAGGCGAUUAAAAGGAGAGAAAAGCGGAAUAAUAUCAAUAGUGGUGACGCCGUCUUUAUACCACAUCUACAGUAAUGUAUCAUUUCUAGCUGGUUCUUGCUCCUCUCUCCGCCUCUCUUUCCCUC